UACGAAGGGGGCUAGCGUUGUUCGGAAUUACUGGGCGUAAAGGGCGCGUAGGCGGCCUUCUAAGUCGGACGUGAAAUCCCUCGGCUUAACCGAGGAACUGCGUCCGAUACUGAAAGGCUUGAAUCCGGGAGAGGGAUGUGGAAUUCCAGGUGUAGUGGUGAAAUGCGUAGAGAUCCGGAGGAACACCGAAGGCGAAGGCAGUGUCCUGGCUGGUGACUGACGCUGAGGUGCGAAAGCUAGGGGAGCGAACGGG
rnacentral:rRNA from 1 species